CGGGAUGUGGCUCAGUCUGGCUAGAGCGCAGCGUUCGGGACGCUGAGGUCCGGGGUUCGAAUCCCCGCAUCCCGACCA
rnacentral:tRNA from 1 species